GUGCCUAUAGCUCAACAGGAUAGAGCAGUUGCCUCCUAAGCGACCGAUUCAGGUUCGAGUCCUGAUAGGCACG
rnacentral:tRNA from 1 species